AGAGCGAACGCUGGCGGCAUGCUUAACACAUGCAAGUCGCACGGCUGGGGUAACUCAGCAGUGGCGGACGGGUGAGUAACGCGUAGGUAUCUAUCUCCGGGUGGGGGACAACUGUGGGAAACUACAGCUAAUACCGCAUGAAACCUGAGGGUCAAAGCAGCGAUGCGCCUGGAGAGGAGCCUGCGUACGAUUAGCUUGUUGGUGGGGUAAUGGCCCACCAAGGCGACGAUCGUUAGCUGGUCUGAGAGGAUGAUCAGCCACACUGGGACUGAGACACGGCCCAGACUCCUACGGAGGCAGCAGUGGGGAAUAUUGGACAAUGGGCGCAAGCCUGAUCCAGCAAUGCCGCGUGAGUGAAGAAGGUCUUCGGAUUGUAAAGCUCUUUCGAUGGGGACGAUGAUGACGGUACCCGUAGAAGAAGCCCGGCUAACUUCGUGCCAGCAGCCGC
rnacentral:rRNA from 1 species